rnacentral:rRNA from 1 species
AGAGUUUGAUCAUGGCUCAGGACGAACGCUGGCGGCGUGCCUAAUACAUGCAAGUCGAGCGGACCGAAAGGAGAGCUCGCUCUCCUCUCGGUCAGCGGCGGACGGGUGAGUAACACGUGGGUAACCUGCCUGUAAGACCGGGAUAACUCGCGGAAACGCGAGCUAAUACCGGAUAGGUCCCGUGGCCGCAUGGCGACGGGAGGAAAGAUGGCGCGAGCUAUCGCUUACAGAUGGGCCCGCGGCGCAUUAGCUAGUUGGUGGGGUAACGGCCCACCAAGGCGACGAUGCGUAGCCGACCUGAGAGGGUGAUCGGCCACAUUGGGACUGAGACACGGCCCAAACUCCUACGGGAGGCAGCAGUAGGGAAUCUUCCGCAAUGGGCGAAAGCCUGACGGAGCAACGCCGCGUGAGCGGAGAAGGCCUUCGGGUCGUAAAGCUCUGUUGUCAGGGAAGAACAAGUACCGGAGUAACUGCCGGUACCUUGACGGUACCUGACCAGAAAGCCCCGGCUAACUACGUGCCAGCAGCCGCGGUAAUACGUAGGGGGCGAGCGUUGUCCGGAAUCAUUGGGCGUAAAGCGCGCGCAGGCGGUCCCUUAAGUCUGAUGUGAAAUCUUGCGGCUCAACCGCAAGAGGUCAUUGGAAACUGGGGGACUUGAGUGCAGGAGAGGGAAGCGGAAUUCCAUGUGUAGCGGUGAAAUGCGUAGAGAUAUGGAGGAACACCAGUGGCGAAGGCGGCUUCCUGGCCUGUAACUGACGCUCGGGCGCGA